GGGUGUAUAGCUCAGUUGGUAGAGCAGCUGACUCUUAAUCAGCGGGUCACAGGUUCGAAUCCUGUUACACCCA
rnacentral:tRNA from 1 species